AUUUAAAGUAUACAAAUAUUGCUGUAUUAUCAGUGACUUUGUCCACGACUUCACUCGUGUGCAAUUUACAUGUCUGUACAGUUUAGUGUCUGUGUAUAACCCUAAUUUGCUCCGAAUCAGUGCCAACCAGGAACCUUCCGUUGCAAACCUUUUCGACCUUACCGGGUACGAAAUGUUUGAGUUCAAUUAAUGGGUACCCGUUGGGAAGCAACCUCUUGACCUCCUCAGAAAUGUAUUACAUUUUGGUCCUCUAAUCACCUCUUUUACUCCCCUUUCUACCUACUCAAGU